rnacentral:rRNA from 1 species
GACGAACGCUGGCGGCGUGCUUAACACAUGCCAGUCGAACGAAGCUUGAUUACGGAUUCUUCGGAUGAAGUAUGAUAUGACUGAGUGGCGGACGGGUGAGUAACGCGUGAGUAACCUGCCCUUCAGAGGGGGAUAGCGUUUGGAAACGAACGGUAAUACCGCAUAAUGUAUUUUGACCGCAUGAUCGAAAUACCAAAGAUUUAUCGCUGAAGGAUGGACUCGCGUCUGAUUAGGUAGUUGGUGGGGUAACGGCCUACCAAGCCGACGAUCAGUAGCCGGACUGAGAGGUUGAUCGGCCACAUUGGGACUGAGACACGGCCCAGACUCCUACGGGAGGCAGCAGUGGGGAAUAUUGCACAAUGGGCGCAAGCCUGAUGCAGCAACGCCGCGUGAAGGAAGACGGUUUUCGGAUUGUAAACUUCUGUUCUUAGUGAAGAAUAAUGACGGUAGCUAAGGAGCAAGCCACGGCUAACUACGUG